GAGCAGUCCUUAGAGAUCGUCUGCUUAAAGGCUGAGACCCUCGCCACCAGAGGAUAGGAGGGUAGCCCAGUGAUGCGGCGGGAGUCUUUUCCCUCAGUGCCUAUCUCACCUGGGUCGCGCUUGGUCUCCAUAUCCUCAUCCUGGCCCCCACCCGCGUCCCCUAGCUCCGCUGGAGUAGGGAGGAAACUUUCUUAAUUCCAGAAUUUCCUUGGGCCACUUGAGAGGCAAGGCAACAUGAAGACAACCAGAGGCCACCUCGGGGGCGGGGCACAAAUGAAAUUCACGGGUAGAGGAAAAGACAGAGGACACACUCCUAAGGGAAGAGGCAAUAGGAGCAGAACGGAGGAGGGGAAAGAGCAGAGCGUGAAAAGUCAAGGUUUCGGGGCCUUUUUUGGUAGGAGGCCUGUGAUAAGGUUCUUGACUGAACAACCUGGCCUAGAGAAAACCUUCCCACUGAGACAACUCUCCUGCUGGAGGGUAGUCUUUCAGAGCAGCGGCCUGCAGAAAGGAAGAGAUGUCAUCCUUGAAUGGAUCUAAUCAGAGAGGGUGCUGGCCUCAGAGAGAGGGGGGGCGCGGGGGCGCGCUCGGCUUUUCCUCAUACCUCUGAGAGACCCUACUUCCUGGGUUCACUGUCCACUGUCUGGUUGCUCAUGCCUGAUGACUCAACAUAUGCCAAAUAAAGGAUACCCAAGUGGGCAGGAU
rnacentral:lncRNA from 1 species